rnacentral:rRNA from 1 species
AUUGAACGCUGGCGGCAUGCCUUACACAUGCAAGUCGAACGGCAGCACGGGUGCUUGCUCCUGGUGGCGAGUGGCGAACGGGUGAGUCAUACAUCGGAACAUGUCCUGUAGUGGGGGAUAGCCCGGCGAAAGCCGGAUCAAUACCGCAUACGAUCUACGGAUGAAAGCGGGGGCCCUUCGGACCUCGCGCUAUAGGGUUGGCCGAUGGCUGAUUAGCUAGUUGGUGGGGUAAAGGCCUACCAAGGCGACGAUCAGUAGCUGGUCUGAGAGGACGACCAGCCACACUGGGACUGAGACACGGCCCAGACUCCUACGGGAGGCAGCAGUGGGGAAUUUUGGACAAUGGGCGAAAGCCUGAUCCAGCAAUGCCGCGUGUGUGAAGAAGGCCUUCGGGUUGUAAAGCACUUUUGUCCGGAAAGAAAUCCUUGGCCCUAAUACGGUCGGGGGAUGACGGUACCGGAAGAAUAAGCACCGGCUAACUACGUG